rnacentral:rRNA from 1 species
AUUGAACGCUGGCGGAAUGCUUUACACAUGCAAGUCGAACGGCAGCACGGACUUCGGUCUGGUGGCGAGUGGCGAACGGGUGAGUAAUGUAUCGGAACGUGCCCAGUCGUGGGGGAUAACGUAGUGAAAAUUACGCUAAUACCGCAUACGAUCUAUGGAUGAAAGCGGGGGAUCGCAAGACCUCGCGCGAUUGGAGCGGCCGAUAUCAGAUUAGGUAGUUGGUGGGGUAAAGGCCCACCAAGCCAACGAUCUGUAGCUGGUCUGAGAGGACGACCAGCCACACUGGAACUGAGACACGGUCCAGACACCUACGGGAGGCAGCAGUGGGGAAUUUUGGACAAUGGGCGAAAGCCUGAUCCAGCCAUUCCGCGUGCAGGAUGAAGGCCCUCGGGUUGUAAACUGCUUUUGUACAGAACGGAAAGGUUUCUACUAAUACUAGGAGCUCAUGACGGUACUGUAAGAAUAAGCACCGGCUAACUACGUGCCAGCCGCCGCGGUAA